GACGAACGCUGGCGGCGUGCUUAACACAUGCAAGUCGAACGGAAAGGCCCUGCUUUUGUGGGGUGCUCGAGUGGCGAACGGGUGAGUAACACGUGAGUAACCUGCCCUUGACUUUGGGAUAACUUCAGGAAACUGGGGCUAAUACCGGAUAGGAGCUCCUGCUGCAUGGUGGGGGUUGGAAAGUUUCGGCGGUUGGGGAUGGACGCGCGGCUUAUCAGCUUGUUGGUGGGGUAGUGGCUUACCAAGGCUUUGACGGGUAGCCGGCCUGAGAGGGUGACCGGCCACAUUGGGACUGAGAUACGGCCCAGACUCCUACGGGAGGCAGCAGUGGGGAAUAUUGCACAAUGGGCGGAAGCCUGAUGCAGCAACGCCGCGUGCGGGAUGACGGCCUUCGGGUUGUAAACCGCUUUCGCCUGUGACGAAGCGUGAGUGACGGUAAUGGGUAAAGAAGCGCCGGCUAACUACGUGC
rnacentral:rRNA from 1 species